ensembl:lncRNA
CUGCGUGCUUGCCCACGUGCUAUGCCGUGUCUCCAAAAGUGAACUCCGUACCUGUUUUAACAGGUUUCAGCGGGGUCACUUGGCUUCUCGCCCCUGCUGGUCCGGCGGCGAGGACUCCUGGUUCUCAUCCGGCUCUGCAGGUCCAGUGCCUGACAGGGAACCACGACUGUCUUCAGGACCGCUCACUGCUCUCUCUCUCCAAGAUCACGGUCAUCGUUUUCGUCACCGAGGCUGGAAAAGGUUGCAGCCCUGACUUGUCUAAACUUCCCGGUGCAGUGAUCCACGGCGCGCAGUUAUCGCCUAACGUCAGCUUUCCUAGACCUCUGCACAGGCGUGGAGCAGAUGGAGUCAUAACACUUCCUAUGUCUGUGUUUUUUAAAAUGUGUUUGUAUUUUGCUUCUGCUUGGCAAUAUUGUAUCAGUUUCUGAAUUACCUACAGUCCACACUUAAUUUAUAUUCAGCAGAGCAGAGUUCCUAUUACGAGGUCUUACUGAGGACGCGAGCGAGGCCUAGUGAAGACCAGAUUCAUGCCUUAUGAGGACGAGAGUCACAGCUUAGAGAAAGAACAUUCGGGCCGCACGCGGACGAGUCAGUCCUCGGUGUGGACCACAGUGAGACUGCAGUGUGCGCGGAGUCGGAACUUACGUGUGCACUGGAGUCAGGCUUCAGUGUGCGGAGUCGGGUUUAAUAUGGACCAGAGUCGGGCCUGAGGCAGGGCCACCGUCAGGCCUCAGUGUGGCCCAGAGCCAGGGUUAGUGUGCAGAGCCAGGCCUCAGCGUGGCCCAGAGCCAGGCCUAAGUGUGACCAGAGUCAGGCCUGAGGCAGGACCACUGUCAGGCCUCAGCGUGGCCCAGAGCCAGGGUUAGUGUGCAGAGUCAGGCCUCAGCGUGGCCCAGAGCCAGGCCUAAGUGUGACCAGAGUCGGGCCUGAGUGUCGACCAGAUUCGGGCCUGAGUGUGACCGGAGUCCGGCCUGAGUGUGACCGGAGUCGGGCCUGAGUGUGGACCGGAGUCCGGCCUGAUGUGGACCGGAGUCGGGCCUGAGUAUGGACCAGAGUCGGGCCUGAUUGUGCCCCAGAGUCGGGCCUGAGUGUGACAGGAGUCAGGCCUGAGUGUGCCCCGGAGUCGGGCCUGAGUGUGACCGGAGUCGGCCCUGAGUGUGACUGGAGUUGGGCCUAAGUCAGGACCAAACUCUGGGUCUGAUCCCCCCACAGAGCCCCCUGGGGCGUGUCCACACUCAUUAUGGGGUGGGGUCCCCUCCAUUUUCAGCCUCCAAGGAGCCUUCCUGCCCUUGUACAGGGGAGUCAUUUUUGACCUUAGUCACUGGCGCCUUAUCUCUUGACUCCAGCAGGGCUCAGCUGCUACCGUUAGCUUUGUCCUUGAGUGUCUGGGGGACAACAAAGCUUCAGCUUCACUCCACUUGACAAACAGCAGCUUCCAGCCCAGAGUCCCCUCCGUCUCCUUCCUCAAAUCCCUCUG